rnacentral:lncRNA from 1 species
GGAAGAAAGCCUGCCCAAGCCUGGUUUCAUAGCAUAACACAGCAGUAGUGUUAGAGAAGUAAAAAUGGGCUGAUGAGGCUUUCAUUCAGUAACACAACAGUGGCAACUUGAAUACUAAGGAAAAAUUUCACUUUAUAUAAAUGUGUGUGUGUGUAUGUAGUGGAUGCUUUCUCCUGCAUUAUUUUUUGAUGAAGAUGUUGAGAUGGCAUAUUUGGAUGCUUAACGAAAAAACUCCAAACCAUCUUUAGCUUCAGAUGCUGAAAAGAGUUGACUGUCUGCUCUUUCCCAUAGUGCAUCCUUUUGCUGCGUGAUUGACGUUACUGUUCUGGAGGGCAGCCCACACUGACUGAAAAUGAUCCUCACAGCGCAGAGAUGCACGCUAGAUUUCUUCCCAGUUAUGCAACAUGCUGGUCAUAUGCCAAAGCAGAAAAAUCACUGUUCACAGGACCAUGCAGGAAAACACCAGAAAUGUGAGAGCUAACCUGGGAGCCACAGGGGACUGACUAGGGGAGAUCACUGGGGUCUCUGUCGAGCACUCAGCAGAUGCCCAGUCCGCAUAUUACCCUAAUCUCUAUCAGAGGCCUUCUUGUCUCCAGCUGCAACAAUGGUCCAGAGUUGGUUGUUUUUUAAUGUCCUGCAUCUCUAAAAAGGGUCAGGGACAUUCUACCUUCCCCUUGCAAACAGAAUGUUUCUGAAUCUUGAAGGGUCUCUGUCAUGUUUUACAGAAAGUAGGAAGUUAUAUACCUCUGUAAGAUGAAUUAAUUUCUACGUGGUCAAGUCUCUUCUCCAAGAAUGCAAACAGGUGUGUCGAACCAUAGAGAAACCAGAUUCAAAAUCUGAUAAGGACUUUCUUUUCCUCUGCUUGCAGUAAUGAUCUCCAUCUCAUUAUCCGCUGUAUUCUUUCACACUGUCUGCUUGAUGUUCUUCUACUUCUAAUUUGGUGUAAUUUUGUUCUUUUCUUUUAAA